UGAGGGUGAACUAAAAAUGUUUAAGGUGAGAGCUCAAACUAGUGACCUCUAAAGCUGAGUUAGAGGUGUUUUAGACCUAAAGUCGAGCUAACCAUACUUUCAUGCUUGCCAAUAAAAAAGUACUCAAUAUGCGAGAACAAGUUAACAAGUUAGAGAUGUUGAAGAGUAUGACAAGUUGUUAAAGACAAGUCAAUUCCAUGUAAUGCUUAAU
rnacentral:lncRNA from 1 species